rnacentral:rRNA from 1 species
AAUGAACGCUGGCGGCAGGCCUAACACAUGCAAGUCGAGCGAGGACUUCGGUCCUAGCGGCGGACGGGUGAGUAACACGUGGGAACGUACCUUUUGCUACGGAAUAGCCUCGGGAAACUGGGAGUAAUACCGUAUGUGCCCUUCGGGGGAAAGAUUUAUCGGCAAAAGAUCGGCCCGCGUUGGAUUAGGUAGUUGGUGGGGUAAUGGCCUACCAAGCCGACGAUCCAUAGCUGGUUUGAGAGGAUGACCAGCCACACUGGGACUGAGACACGGCCCAGACUCCUACGGGAGGCAGCAGUGGGGAAUCUUAGACAAUGGGCGCAAGCCUGAUCUAGCCAUGCCGCGUGAGCGAUGAAGGCCUUAGGGUUGUAAAGCUCUUUCGCUGGGGAAGAUAAUGACUGUACCCAGUAAAGAAGCCCCGGCUAACUCCGUGCCAGCAGCCGCAGUAACAC